UCUUAAAGUGGUGAAAUGGCACUGUUGA
rnacentral:piRNA from 1 species